UUUUUUAGAGUAUUCAAAGACAUCCAAUAAAUUAGAACAGAAUAGAGAAGAUUAACAUGUCUCAUGCACAAGAUGACAUGCAUAAAUAGAGAAAUAUAUAUUAGUGGU